rnacentral:rRNA from 1 species
GACGAAGGUGGCAAGCGUUGUUCGGAAUCACUGGGCAUAAAGCGCUCGUAGGCGGCAAUGUAAGUCGGAUGUGAAAUCCCUCGGCCUAACCGAGGAACUGCGUCCGAUACUGCGUAGCUUGGGAACCAAAAAGGUGCAUGGAAUUUCCGGUGAAGCGGCGAAAUGCGUUGAUAUCGGAAGGAACGUCGGCGACGAAAGCGAUGCACUGGUUGGUUACCGACGCUGAGGAACGAAAGCCAAAGGAGCAAACGGG